rnacentral:rRNA from 1 species
GAUGAACGCUAGCUACAGGCUUAACACAUGCCAGUCGAGGGGAAACGGCAUCGAAAGCUUGCUUUUGAUGGGCGUCGACCGGCGCACGGGUGAGUAACGCGUAUCCAACCUGCCCAUCACUUGGGAAUAACCUUGCGAAAGUAAGACUAAUGCCCAAUGACAUCCCACGAAGGCAUCCGAAUGGGAUUAAAGAUUUAUCGGUGAUGGAUGGGGAUGCGUCUGAUUAGCUUGUUGGCGGGGUGACGGCCCACCAAGGCAACGAUCAGGAGGGGUUCUGAGAGGAAGGUCCCCCACAUUGGAACUGAGACACGGACCAAACUCCUGCGGGAGGCAGCAGUGAGGAAUAGUGGUCAGUGGGCGAGAGCCUGAACCAGCCAAGUAGAGUGCAGGAUGACGGCCCUAUGGGUUGUAAACUGCUUUUAUAAGGGAAUAAAGUGGGUCACGUGUGACUUUUUGCAUGUACCUUAUGAAUAAGGACCGGCUAAUUCCGUG